ensembl:piRNA 21ur-12745 ncRNA
UUUCUAUUGGUAGAAACAUUU